AUUGAACGCUGGCGGCAGGCCUAACACAUGCAAGUCGAGCGGUAACACAGGGAGCUUGCUCCCGGGUGACGAGCGGCGGACGGGUGAGUAAUGUCUGGGAAACUGCCUGAUGGAGGGGGAUAACUACUGGAAACGGUAGCUAAUACCGCAUAAUGUCGCAAGACCAACGAGGGGGACCUUCGGGCCUCUUGCCAUCAGAUGUGCCCAGAUGGGAUUAGCUAGGAGGUGGGGUAACGGCUCACCUAGGCGACGAUCCCUAGCUGGUCUGAGAGGAUGACCAGCCACACUGGAACUGAGACACGGUCCAGACUCCUACGGGAGGCAGCAGUGGGGAAUAUUGCACAAUGGGCGCAAGCCUGAUGCAGCCAUGCCGCGUGUAUGAAGAAGGCCUUCGGGUUGUAAAGUACUUUCAGCGGGGAGGAAGGUGUUGAGGUUAAUAACCUCAGCAAUUGACGUUACCCGCAGAAGAAGCACCGGCUAACUCUGUGCCAGCAGCCGCAGUAA
rnacentral:rRNA from 1 species